GCGCACGACGGCCGGGGAGAAAACGCGAUCGUGUUGGCGGUAGCGGAGCACAUUGAGAUCACCACCAGAGCAGAAAGGCACGGCCCAAGCGAGGAAGUCUUGAGUCUCCAAGGAAGAUAUAAGAUGAGGGAGAAAUGGGUGGCUGUUCCGGCCGGAGAGUUUGGUGAGGACCUGGAUCUCCCAGCGGGCUCGUCGGUCGGCCUCGAAUUUCAUAUGGAGGGUGGAUUUCUCGACGACUUUGAGGGCAUAGGGUGUCCGAGCACAAGGGUCAGCUACCCUGUCGUGAACUAGAAACACGGUGCCCAUAGCUCCUUUGCCUAGGACUUUGAUGGCUCUAAGGUUGUCAAAGUCUAACUCCGUGGAUGAUGAUUGUUUUUGCUGCUUUGGUGGUGGCGGUGUAUCCAUUUUCAGAGAAGAAAAGGGAGGGAGAGAAAUUUAAGAGAGAGAGAGAGAGAGAGCGAGGC
rnacentral:misc_RNA from 1 species